rnacentral:rRNA from 1 species
UACAGAGGUCUCAAGCGUUGUUCGGAUUCAUUGGGCGUAAAGGGUGCGUAGGUGGCGCCGUAAGUCAGGUGUGAAAUUUCGGAGCUUAACUCCGAAACUGCAUUUGAUACUGCGGUGCUUGAGGACUGGAGAGGAGACUGGAAUUUACGGUGUAGCAGUGAAAUGCGUAGAUAUGCGGAGGAACACCGAUGGCGAAGGCAAUCCCCUGGGCCUGCACUGACGCUCAUGCACGAAAGCGUGGGGAGCAAACAGG